UAAAAGGGUCGGUUGGCUAUGUAUGCCACGCUCAUCUUUUGUUGGUGAGUGCUGUAUGGCUAUCAAGACAUAUGGCCGACAUAAUUUAUGGAACUUAUCUAAUAGGGUUGGCUCGCUCGGCCGACCCUCUA